UCUCCCUCUUGACCGACUGCCCCUUCUCUCUAUUUCUCUAUUUUCCUAUCUCACUUAGCCACCGAAGCCCACACACAUAAACACUCUAGCUCCCUCUAUUUCUCUUACUCCCUCACCGGUAAACCAGUCAUCCACCACCACUUUUGACAGAUUUCACUGGAGAACCCCAUUAGCAACCCCAUACGCUCCAUUCUCUCAAAGCUUUAAAGGUUCUGAUAUUCUUGGUGAUGGACCUAGUGACUGGAUUAGUUGAUUUUGUGGUGCCCAGUUGAGGUAAAAUUGGUUGGCCUUCCAAGGUAAGUAGCUUUUUAAUGGGAUUUUUGAAAAAUAAACAUAUUGCAUAAAGGUUGUUUUUGGGUUAGACACGCUUUUGGAAACUACCUAUGGAAACUAUAUUUUCCUAAAAACUAUUGUGUCGUAACCUUAAUAUAUAUAUAUAUAUAUAUAUAUACACACACAUAUAUAUACAAAAAUGCAUCAUAUUUGGUAUCGCAUUUGGGGAAUGCAUGAAUUGUGAACAUGGAAAAUAUAAGCAUGUUUUAUUUAAUCUUUGAUAAGGAAAUCAUAGAUUUUAUGGUAUAUUAGAAAAUUUAAAGAUGCUUAUCUUGUCUUGUAUUAUUUGGGAAAUUGAUAGAAAAUAGAAAAGAAUGAAGUUGAAAACCUUACAAACUUUGUUGUAGUUAGAUUAUUUAAGGUUUUUUUGAAACUACCUAGUUAUAAACUAUGUUUUUGAAAGGGUAUGUAUACUUGUGAGCUUUAUAUGGUUUUGACACCGUGCCAUGUGUGAUUUCCCCGUGAUCACCCGAUUUGGUUUCCGUAGUCUUUGUGACAAUGGAAUCAAAUCCAGGUUAGUGCCCUUUCACUUUGGAUGACGCGUUCUUCCCUACUGCCCAUGGAGGGAAGAGGUUCCUUGAUUGUGUGUGGGUGAGGCUGCUGCCCAUGGAGCCAAGAGACCACAUGCAAGAGAGGUCCUAUUUGACGCGCUCUCUCUACUGCCCAUGGAGGGAGAGAAAAACCUUGAGGGUAUGAGUGAGGUUGCUGUCCAUGGGGCCAAGAGUCUGCAUGCCAGAGAGGACAAUAUCAUGCCAGUUGUGAAUGGGUGGAUCCCCUAAUCGGUCUAUGUGGUAGUAUGGUAGAUUUGUGAUGAAAUUACCGUAUGUUAGAUUUUAUGGCUUUGGAAAUUAUAUUGUUAGUGCUCACAGAUUAUAAUAUAUAGUUUCCUGGUAUUAUUUUGAGAAACUUUGUGUUUCAUCAUUUAAUCAUUCUUGUUACAUUAUUACAAAAAAUGAUCUUGCAGUAUUCAGUUAGCAAUUUCCCAAACUAAAACAUGUUUUGCAAAUUGUUUAUAAUCAUGAAACUUGCAUUUCCCCCACCCCCAUUAAUUAUGCUACUUACUAGGCUUUAGCUCAUCCCACUCUCUAACAAUUUUACAGAUAAAUUAGCUAUACGUUGGGCACGAAGCUUAGUUAUUGGUGGUGACUAGAGUACUGUGCUAAGUGGGAGAUUUGUGCCAUAAAUUGUUGGUGCUCAGUUUACUAAAUUAUUCGAGGCCAUAGCUAUAUCUAUUGGAGGUUGGAUACUUGAGGUUUGUUAGUUUUAGGCAUUGUAGGCCUAACUCCAAUAUUGAUGUUGUGUAUUCUAGAAGGGAUUGUGAUUUUGUGUUAUCCAUUUGGAGUUUUGAAAUAUAUUCAUGUAUUAUUUGGAGACACAUGAUUUGAGUUAUUGUUUGUAAAUGUGUUAUAGAGCUCUAACUUGUAAUAUGGAGAUUUUAGUAUGGUUA